GGACGAUUAGCUCAGUUGGCAGAGCACCGGCCUCACAUGCCGGGGGUCGCAGGUUCAAGUCCUGCAUCGUCCACCA
rnacentral:tRNA from 1 species